GCCACCGGGCAGCCCCACGAGGGCUCGAGUUACGCCGCACGGAAGGGCUGCCAGCUGGCGCUGAACCGCAUGGAGUACGCCAGGAGGAGGCUGGCGGAGCUGGCGAGGGGCUGCCAGCAGCUGCUGGACGCUUAGGGGGACGUGGGGGGCCGGGGGGGGCUGCUGGAGACAUAGGACUGUGGGGCCAUGGGGGGCUGCUGGAGCCAUAGGGGCAGAGGGGACGUGGAUGGAUGUGGGGCCAUGGGGGGCAGUCAGCAGCUGCUGGACCCAUAGGGGGAGAUGGGGGCCGUGGGGGGCCGUCAGCAGCUGCUGGAGCCAUAGGGAUGUGGGGAGAUGUGGGGCUGGACCCAUAGCGGGCGUGGAUGGAUGUGGGGCCACGGGGGGGCCGCCAACCACUGCCGGACCCAUAGGGGGCGGUGUGGGGCCGUGGAUGGACGUGGGGACGCCGUGGGACGGCCGUGGAUGUGGGGGGACCCCCCGGGACGCCGCAGUGACCCCCAUGUGGGGCAGAGCAAUAAAGGGGUCCCCGUGUGGGGCGCAGUGAAGGGGUCUGUGUGUGUCUGUGGGGAUGGGGGGGGGGGGGGGGU
rnacentral:lncRNA from 1 species